UUGCUUGCUUCGUGGGAGCUUUGGAAUGAACUGAAUGGACAGUUCUUCAGGAAUGUACCUUCUAUGCCUAAAGUAGUUGAGCGCAAAAUCAAAGAUGAAUCAGCCUUGUGGGUUUUUGCUGGGGCAAAGCAUUUAAAAUUGAUCAUGCCACGAGAGUAG
rnacentral:rRNA from 1 species